UACGUAGGUGACAAGCGUUGUCCGGAUUUACUGGGCGUAAAGAGCGCGCAGGCGGUCGAUCAAGUCGAGUGUGAAAGCCCCCGGCUCAACUGGGGGGGGGGUCAUUCGAUACUGAUCGACUCGAAGGCAGGAGAGGGUAGUGGAAUUCCCGGUGUAGUGGUGAAAUGCGUAGAUAUCGGGAGGAACACCAGUGGCGAAGGCGACUACCUGGCCUGUUCUUGACGCUGAGGCGCGAAAGCUAGGGGAGCAAACGGG
rnacentral:rRNA from 1 species